rnacentral:rRNA from 1 species
AUUGAACGCUGGCGGCAUGCCUAACACAUGCAAGUCGAGCGGAGCGUCGGACGGGCGAGUACUGCCUAGGAAUCAGCCUGGUGGUGGGGGAUAACGUCCGGAAACGGGCGCUAAUACCGCAUACUAUCAGAUGAGCCUAGGUCGGCUUAGCUAGUUGGGGGGGUAAAGGCUGACAAAGCAGACGAUCCGUAACUGGGCUGAGAGGAUGAUAAGUCACAUUGGGACCGAGACACGGUUCAGACUCCUAAGGGAGGCAGCAGUGGGGAAUAUUGGAAAAUGGGCGAAAGUCUGAUCCAGCCAUGCCGCGUGACUGAAGAAGGGUGUCGGAUUGUAAAGCACUGUGAGUAGGGAGGCGUUACCUAAAGAGAAAGCACCGGCUAACUUCGUGCCAGCAGCCGCGGUAAUUC